rnacentral:rRNA from 1 species
UCUUAAAGCCAGUCUCAGUUCGGAUUGUAGGCUGCAACUCGCCUACAUGAAGUCGGAAUCGCUAGUAAUCGCGGAUCAGCACGCCGCGGUGAAUACGUUCCCGGGCCUUGUACACACCGCCCGUCACACCACGAGAGUUGGGAAUACCCGAAGCCUGUGAGCCAACAAACGAGGCAGCAGUCGAAGGUAGAAUCAAUGAGUUGGGGUGAAGUCGUAACAAGGUACC